GCAGUAGUUCUCCUUUAAGAAGAACAUGAGACCAGCCUUGUCAAGGAAAGGAAAAGAAAGCAGCAGCAGCUCUCUACAGACACAGAAAGGCUUUAAGCAGGAACCUGCUCCAGAUCCGAGCUUCAGUCUUCAUUAAGAAGAAAGUGGAGGUUGGUCCUAUGUGGUACAUGGUUUGUGUCAUAACACGUAUUGUACUUUUGUUGCUGGAGCUCUGAUUUUCCAACUUGCUGGUGCAUGGAGAGCCCCAGAAGUGCAGGAGUUUGUCUCCGUUGGACAAGUUGUCUGGCUGGCGUCCAUCAAUGUGGCUAGCAGAAGUCCUUGGCCGGCGUGUGGAGGUGUGGAAACAUCACAAGAAAACACGAAACAACUUCCUAAAUUAAGGUGUGUGAUGGCCUGGCUGGUAGCACUGCUUUCAGAAAGAGGAAACCACAAGCACCUGAGCAAGCUGUGGCUGAUAAGGAGAGGGCUGGUGGCUAAGGACAGUUAGCCUCCUCGUGGCAAGGGUAAAGGUCUGCGUGGCAGGGGCACUGCUCAGCCCUGUGCCUGCCUGGAUGGCAGCUGGGAGAUUAUUCUGCGUGGGCUCAUGCUGUGCUGCCUGUGGCAUGAACACUCAGAGUGAAAGCUGUAAGUAA
rnacentral:lncRNA from 1 species